rnacentral:rRNA from 1 species
UACGGAAGGCAGCAGUGGGGAAUAUUGCACAAUGGGCGCAAGCCUGAUGCAGCCAUGCCGCGUGUAUGAAGAAGGCCUUCGGGUUGUAAAGUACUUUCAGUCGUGAGGAAGGUGUUAAGGUUAAUAACCUUAGCAAUUGACGUUAGCGACAGAAGAAGCACCGGCUAACUCCGUGCCAGCAGCCGCGGUAAUACGGAGGGUGCGAGCGUUAAUCGGAAUUACUGGGCGUAAAGGGCACGCAGGCGGUUAAUUAAGUUGGAUGUGAAAUCCCCGGGCUUAACCUGGGAAUGGCAUUCAAGACUGGUUAGCUAGAGUCUUGUAGAGGGGGUAGAAUUCCAUGUGUAGCGGUGAAAUGCGUAGAGAUGUGGAGGAAUCCGGUGGCGAAGGCGGCCCCUGGACAAGACUGACGCUCAUGUGCGAAAGCGUGGGGAGCAAACAGGAUUAGAUACC